ACGGAAGGCAGCAGUGGGGAAUAUUGCACAAUGGGGGAAACCCUGAUGCAGCGAUGCCGCGUGUAGGAAGAAGGUUUUCGGAUUGUAAACUCCUGUCUUAAAGGACGAUAAUGACGGUACUUUAGGAGGAAGCUCCGGCUAACUACGUGCCAGCAGCCGCGGUAAUACGUAGGGAGCGAGCGUUAUCCGGAAUUACUGGGUGUAAAGGGAGCGUAGGCGGGACUGCAAGUCAGAUGUGAAAUGCCGGGGCUUAACCGCGGAGCUGCAUUUGAAACUGUGGUUCUUGAGUGAAGUAGAGGCAAGCGGAAUUCCUGGUGUAGCGGUGAAAUGCGUAGAUAUAAGGAAGAACACCAGUGGCGAAGGCGGCCUACUGGACAGUAACUGACGCUGAGGCGCGAAAGCGUGGGGAGCAAACAGGAUUAGAUACCCUGGUA
rnacentral:rRNA from 1 species